rnacentral:misc_RNA from 1 species
UUUGCUGCAAACACAAGGAGAGGAGCUCAAAAGAUUAAGGAUGCUGAGAUGCCAAAACUACGUAAGCCUGAUGAACCUGACUUUUUUGCUGAUGAUGAAUAGUGCUAGCUUUCUCUGCCAAAGGUGAAAGGCCAAAAUUGUUUCAUAAGAGCCAGAAAACAAUUUAAUGGCUCUGGAAUCCAAUAUCUUACACAAAUGAACUUCGCUGACAAUUUGAAUGUCCUUCCUUUUCCUGAGAGAAGAGGGGAAGAGAGCGAGAGGAACAUGGGGAGUGGUUUUAUUGUAUGCUGCGGUACCUUGUGAUUUUUUUUUUCCCCUUUUUUUAAUUGCUGUAAUCAUGCCAGCUUCAUCAAGGGCUAAUGAUUGAUUCA